CUUGCAACCAUCGAAAACCCAUCUGCCUUCUUCUUCGCGAGAUCCAGGGAGAAACUGAACACUGCACGCCAUGAGGUGCUCAGAAACGGAUCGAUCAACCAGCAGUAGCAAGCGCGGUUGUGCAUCAUGCAUGCAUGUUUGUUCUUCUUUUCUUUUGAUUUGUUGUUGGUCGUUUAAUUUGUCGCCGCCGCCGCCGUCAUGGUUAGUUGCGACGACGAUGGCUGGAUGGAAGAGAGCGUCCUUCAGUCCACUCAGGGGCGGUGCUAGGGUCGAAUUAGCUGCCGACUCAUUCACCCACAUGCCAAGCAAACGGCCAUGGAAACCAGCUUUGCAGAUGAGUGAAUGAAGCGGGAGGUAAAAGCUUCGAUCUCGCACCGUCUUUGCUUGGACUGAAGGGUGCUCCCUCCUCCCUCGCUCCUUGUUUACCUUUAUCGAUCCAUGCAUCAGCUUCGUCAUAUCUCAUGGUUUUACUAGCUUCAUGGUCUGUCUUUGCUUGAGCUGCUUAACUUACAUGUUUGGUUGGCAUCUGAUGCAUACAUAUAUAGCAGCUGCCAAAACGACGGGCAUAUUUUAUUUAGUCCCUUAUCAUGUGCGUGCUUACUGUUCUUCUCUGCUGGUUAAUUGUUAUAUAGCAGUUACGUUCUGUGUGUAUAUAUAAUGGAGAUCCAAAGCUUUUUUUUGUACUUUCCUUGCGCUUUUGAUAUAUAAACUAGCUCUAAAUCCUUGAUCUGCUCGUUGAAUCUACAUAUAUAUUGUUCUCUUCCAAAAAAAGAGAUCCCAUUUCGUUCUGAAGAAAAGAAAAGGAGAUCGAACUUCAUUUGCUUUGCUUGUUUUUGUUUUUUAUAAAGGAAGCAUUUUUAUUAAUAACCAAGGGCAAUACAUCAAGGAGAUACAAAGUCUAUUUGCUUUUGUUGUGUGUAGAUCUUACAGUACAGGAUGGGAUGGGAUCCAUACAUCCAUGAUCCAUGCAUCGUCUCUGCAGGUUUCUGCCGUCUUUCCGUGAUCUGUGGAAGAAGAUGGUGUGCACUGUUGUGGACUUGGACUAAACGAGAUGCAUGCUAGCUUUUCUGGUGCGUGUGGGAAUCUGUGGAAUCACAACGACGCAACUUUCGUUCGGUUCGUGUCGUGCAACAGCGAAACGUCUUUCGAAACUCCCUGUUUGCUUUGGAACUUUGCAUGCAACUAGAUCGAGCUAGUGAUUCGAUGUGUGCUAGCAUAGCACUCCGAUCCUCCCUGUGCUUUUAUUUGGAGCAUUAUGUAUGGCCACCACUUGGACUGAAUCAUCAUCAGGUUUCCGAUGCUUUUUUUCCCUCAUGGAUGUCCCCGAUAAGAGAAGAACGAGGCUGUUUUAGGCACUUGCAUCUGUCCUUUCCCUUGA